AUACCUUUCUCGGCCUUUUGGCUAAGAUCAAGUGUAGUAUCUGUUCUUAUCAGUUUAAUAUCUGAUAUGUGGGCCAUGUGCCUACUUCGAUAUUAAAUUUAUUUUUUGUGGGGGAGGGUCCACCACAGUGGCUUGCCACUGGGGCCCUCGAGCGUCGCCCAGGCGUUGCACUGCUGCUCGGGCCUGGCGCACCCCAA
rnacentral:snRNA from 1 species